GCCUCGAUAGCUCAGUUCGGUAGAGCGCGAGCCUUUUACAGACUCUAUUGAGGCCUAGUAAGCUCGAUGUCCAGGGUUCGAUCCCCUGUCGAGGCG